UGCUGAAAGUGUCACCAUACUCCUGGCACCAACAGGACAUCCCCAGAGUUCACAAACCCGAACUGUAAUGAACGUGGGAGGAAACCAGAGCAUCCAGGAGAAUCUCCUUACAGACAGAGAAGGCAUUCAAGCCCCAAUUUUACAGCUGGUGCCAUAAAGUUUUGUGCUAACUACAACACUACCAAGAUUGGGAUUUGGAUGGAAUUAUUUACCUUUACAAUAAAACUUACUUCGGAAACAUUCACUUCAUGACAUCAUCGAGGGUGAAAUGGUGCUUUUCAGCUUUAAUUGAAAGUGGAUUUAUAAAGAAAGAGAGAUUCAUGAAAACACUUGAAAAUAUGGUCCAAAAGUACAUUCACAUCUGCAAGCAGUCAGAGAUGCCAACCAGUUAGUCCUAAUGCAUUGUCUUGAUCUGAAACAUUGACAAUUCUUUGUGCUCCAAAGAUGUCACUCAACCUGUUGAGCUCCUCCAGCAAAUCGCUUCUUACACCAGAUUCUGCAAUGUUUCUAACUCUGAGUUGACAGAUAAACCUUCCAGAACACAGCAACAGCAACUCUACAUCUCAUUCUCUCCACUCGCACCCCUCUUUCUCUGCAUAUGAAAUAGUUCAUUUCAGAUGAUACACAAGCUCAUCAACCUUUAGAUUUAACUCAGUUUCUCCCUUCAAAGGUGCUGCCUGAACUGCUAAGCAUUUCCAGCUUUUUUUUUCGGCUUCAUGCUAGUCAUAAAUAAGGUGGAGUUUGUGUCUGAAGAAGCCUCUCAGAUGACUGGCAAAACAUCUUCUAGACAACACAGCAAUCCAGUUGACUUGGUUUACUCCUGCUUCAUAAGGAGGCAUUUAUUUCAUUCAUAAUUCAUUUUGUUUUAUCUUGCACAAUGUAACUUUUACAGACAGAAUAAAAGUAAGUAAAAUGAUACAAAUAAAUCAAGAUUUCAAAUUCAAGGAACAAAGCAAUGGCAAUCAAAUUUAUAUGGAUGAUCUGGCCCUUCUGAUAUCCAGAUUAUGUCCAUAUAGACUCUUAAUGCAGUAAGACUUCUCAAGGUGCACAUGGAGGACUGUUAUAAAACAAACUCUGACAAAAAGCAACAAGAUAUAAAACAGUUAACAAAAAAUUGAAGAGGAGAGGCUUAGGAAAGAAUUACAGAGCUUAGGUACCUGACAGAUGAAGACAUAGUUGUCAUGGUCUGGAUCAGUUCUCCUUUAAAUUUAGUUAGGUUGCGUUAUAAUCUGGACCAUUGACUCCUAGUUCCCUUCUAAUUUCGUUUCACAUGUCCCUUGAGCUUGGCCAUUAAGGUAAUCUACUCUCGACCCGAACCAGCAGCUUAUAAGCCCUUGGCUUUAGCCAUCCGGGGCGAGAGUGUUAGGAAGCCUUAGCAAGUCGCCAUCGCUACCACAAGCCAGAGUUGCCUAGCCCGCUUUGGAGUUCCGGCAAUUCGCCUUCCUUCUCCAGAGUGGGACUGGGCAAGGUCAAACUGCCAGAGGUGAGUUGAAGGUGGAGCCCUGGCUCGAUGUUCAUGCCCCAUGUCCGUGUCUAUCCCUUGAAGAGGAGUCCUGGAUCAGUGAUUGUGGUGAACUACAUACACCUGUCUGGACACAUAUACCUGCUGACUGCUCCUGUGGCCCUUCCCACUGAUCCCGGUAUAAAGGCGAUUGAGGCCUGAGCCUGGCCCUCAGUCUCUAGGAUUUGGUAUGGUGGUCAACUACUGCUUGUUCUUUCUUCCAGUCAAUAAAAGCCGAUAUCUCGCCUUCAUGUCUCAGAGAGAGUUAUUGAUGGUGGAGUCCUGGCUCGAUGUUUAUGCCCAGUGUCCGUGUGUGCCCCUCAAAGAAGAGUCCCGGCUUGGUGCCUGAGUUGAAGGUGGAGUCCUGGCUUGAUGUUCAUGCCCAGUGUCUGUGUGUGCCCCUCAAAGAAGAGUCCCAGCUUGGUGCCUGAGUUAAAGGUGGAGUCCUAGCUUGAUGUUCAUGCCCAGUGUCCAUGUCUGUCACUCGAAGAGGAGUCCCGGCUCAGUGCCUGAGUUGAAGGCGGAGACCUGGCUCGACGUUCCGGUCCUGUGGUUAACCGAGUGUCCACGUUCUGGCUGAGGUGACCCAUGGUGUCCACAUCCUGGCUGCAGCGAUCCUUGGUGUCCACGUCUGGCUGUGGCGAUUCAAGGUCCUAGUCUCAAUGUCCAAGGUCCGCUGCGGUCCACGUUCCAGUGUCCCAAGUCCAAGGUCCAUGACAAUCCAUGUUCCCAAUGUCCAAGUCCAAGGUCCACGGCGGUCCAACUCCCUAGUCUCCUAGUCCGAGUUUCAUGUUCCUCUUUGUCCUCCUUGAUUUCCCAGUUCUCUGUGCAGCGAAUGAUAAACGCUAUUUUAUUGAACCUAAGAAAGACAUGUUUUGUGUCCUGCCUGUGGGUCCUCUCCCAGCACCCUUGCCCCCACCGUGUGACAAUAGCUGCCAUGUUCCAUUCAGAAAUAACUCUCCCUUGAACUUGAGGAUCAAAGACAUUUGGGGAUUUGAAAAACUGGUGAGGUGAUACAAAUAAGAAGGGAAAGCCUUGUAGACAUAUGAACAAAACACCGGUCUGUAUGUUUAGGGAAGCUAUCAUAGUCUGAUGUCAUGAUGACAGCCCAUUCAAUUGUUCAAUUGAUUUUGUGAAUGGUUGUGGUAGCACCUGGAGCAGAUGCCAUGAGACAUGCUUGACUUGUACAGUCAUCACAAUUUACCUUGUGUCUCAGUUUCCACUUAUGGAACUAUCGGUUACACCAGCAGUCGGCUCGAAUUUGUUUGAGCUUUCCCUGAAAGGUUGAGGUCUGGGCUUCCAUUGCUAGGAUCGGUUCACACCGUACAUUCAGUGAUGUUUGCCAAGAGUAUACCAUCAGGAGAUGGGACUGACAUUUGAUUGUAGAGGUUGGAUUGUGUUCCAGUAAAGCUGCAGGAUUUCAUACAGAACUGGGACAGGGAUUUAAUGUUCUUUGUUAGUGAAGGAGUGCUUUACAGCUAUUAAUGGGUGGAGAUCUUUAAGGAAAAUGUUUUCCCUUUGGACAACAAGACACUCACUGUGCGCUGCCACAGAAAGCCUCCUGAAUACUGUUUGUCUCUGAACUCCAAGACUAGUCCUCUUGCUGUCCCAGUCAUGAAAAUCUACUACUUGUUUUCUGGCAGUUCCUGAGGAUGAUUGAGAAGUGUUGAAUUGCAGUACUUUGUUGGAUUGGCCAGAGCAAAUGAAGUAACCUGUAGCAUACUGGUUCUCCUACCCCUGAUGUUCAGUUAUUUCUAAUCUUGGGUUCAGUGUUGCCCUGAUAACUACCAAACUGCUGCAAAACAAAAACACAAACACAUAAAUGUAAAUAGCAGAUAUGACAGCUUUGUUCCAAAAGGCCAUCACGUCCUUUAAUCAGGUCCAUUUCAAUUUUUGGAAAAAAUAUCUCAUUCAGGUCCACAAGCAUCAAAAGAGUCCAGCACUAUUUGCUGUAUAUAUUGCAGAUGUUUGCAGCUUAAAAACACAUUGUUAGGGAAGUAUAUUACUGGCUAUGUGAGCCACACACUGAUUAUUUAAAUAUCUUCCUCUUCUCAAUAAAAAACAACAGCAAACUGCCCUUCAAGCUACUAAUUCUGUACAAUAUCCUUUCAAGUAAAAGCAAAUUAAGGGGGAAUCAUGUUAAUCUUCAUUGUCUCUGAAGUAAUUAAAGGAGACGGAAUCCAACAACUGAAGCUACUUUGUUGUAUAAAUCGAACUUCAUUUUGAAUCCACUUCUAUAAAGGCUCAAAGCUCUUAGAAUUUCAUGAAUAAGGCCUUGCUUUUGUUCAAUUAUGUCAGUGGUAUUCUCUUUGGACUGGAUGUUAUUUUCUCCUUUCUUCAGCAUCUAUUCAUUAUAAUUUAUUUCCUUUUACUUUAGCCUAUUUUUGUCCUAUCAACCAAUGAGGAAUAAAUUGCAAAUGCUGUCCCUGAACACGAUGAAUAUUGUGGCGAGCAUUUUAUCCAUGAUUUCAGAUGAGAAAACUUGUUUAACAUUGUGACCAGUACAAAAACAGACUGGGCGCUAUGACCAGGGAGAAAACUCACUCUUGCACACCCCGGUUGGAGUCAGGGUGAUCCACAAAUACACAUGCAAGCAACUGUAUAAACCAAGCUAAAACGUUACAUUAAAUGAACUCAAACACCCCACCAUAAUCCUAAAAGCAUUUUAACACAAGCACAAUAAAUCACGCUGGUCAUUAGGAAUGCUGGGGUGAGCUGUUGACAACACCGCCAAAAGCAUCACAUUGCUUCCAGCUAAGGGUCAGCCAUCCCCGGCAACUGCAGAGACCACAACGAAGUCCAAAUGUCCAGGUGGUGGUCGAUGCCCCAUCCUGGAGUGCUGGGGGCUUUCUGGAGCCCUCACAGGAGAGGAACCGUUUGGUGAGACAAGAGGCAGAGCCCCUGGAGUGCCACUUCCUUCCUGGGUCGAUGCUGGCCGAGAGCUGAUAUUCUGCCAGCCAGUCCCAAUGCAGCACGACUGCCUUCUGCCACUCGGGCAACUGCACCCAAUAUACCACAUUAGAGGUGCAGUUGAGCACCUCUUCUGGCCCCUUCCAAUGGCUUCCUAGCUUGGGGGAUAGAGUCUUCUUCUGGGAGGGUUAGUAGAUCCACACUGGGGCCUGGACCACGGACUGCUGCAUUGGUGUCCGAGACUGAUGGUCCAGCCCCUUUUGGGAUGUACAAGUGGUGGUACCAGUGGUAGUACGAUGCCAGCCCCAGGAAGCUGCCAGGCUCAGAGACAUGGCGGAUGGGUGGGCCAUUCCUUGACGGUCGCCACCUCUUUGGCACUCACCAUGUACCCCAGGAACUUCAUCUGAUGGCGCAGCAGGCAGCAUUUUGUGUGCUUGAGGCUCAGGUCCACCUGGCGAAGACGUCUUCCAGGUUCCAAAGAGCAUCAUCAGAAAUGGCAGCGUGCACCAGGAGAUUGUCCAAAUAGAUGACACUGCAGUUCCACGGAUUGUGAGCCAGCACCUUCCCCAUCAGUCCUUGAAUGUGGCUGGGGUAUUACACAGACCUAACAACGUUACCUGGAAGUGCCGCAGCCCUUUGCCAAUGGUGAAGGGAGUCUUAGGCCGGGCUCCAGGGUACGUUUGACCUGCCAGUGGCCACUGGGGAGAAUGAGAGAGCUGAAACAGGCCAAACCCUUGAUACAGUCCAGGGCAUCAUCAAUUCAGGGCAGUGGCUAGUAGUCCUUCUUGGUCACUGCUUUGAGAGAGCGGUGGUCAAUGCAGAACUGCCACAACCCAUCUUUCUUCCUGACCAACACCAUCAGGGCUUUGCAUAGGUUGUCUGAGUGCUCAAUGAUGCCAUCUGCUGCCUGGCAUUUGGCGAGGGUCAGGUGAUAAGGUCGCAGGAGGAUGGGGUGGACAUCCCUGGUAUUAAUGUGGUGUUGGACCAGCCCCCUGCACCUGCAGUCUUUGUUCCCGGCUGUGAAGAUGUCGAGGUGUUGGUCCAGGAGGUUUUUCACCAUCCGCCCGCUGGCCCUGGUCCAAGUUCUCGCUGCUUCACUGCCACAGCCCUCGCACUGAGUGGACAGUCUCACUGGAAGGCACUGCAGUAGUGCUGCCGAUGCCAUCAUACUGUGCAGAUGCGGCUGUUGAUCACUGUGUGCUGUGCUGGGGUGACCGGUGGCAGUUGUUGCUCUGCUUGGUCUGCUUCCUGGAGCUGCCCUGCCGGUCAGCCACGGAUCUAGUGCCGAGCUAGAGUGUUGGUGACGGUUGACCCUACGUCCACCAAUGCAUGGUAUCUCGUGUCCGGCACCGUGCAUUCCACGUCUAAGCCUUGUUCUUCACCCGCGGCCCACCCGGGGAGGUGACAAUGGAGGGAUUCUGUUGGAGGUCUCGAGUGGUGCUUCCCUCAUGGCACCGCCCAUUCAGCAUUUCCCGGCCGCCACGCUGGGCCGUGGCAUGGGGCAGUUCCAAGCCACGUGGCCUGCCUGGUAGCCUGGAACGCUCAGUGGCACACAGCAGGGCUGGAGUGGCUCUGGUCAGACCAGUCUCACGGACUGCUCCUCAUGAGUUUCCUCCUCCACCUUGGUAACACCAUCCCAGCUCACGGCAUGUGAGGCAUCUCUGGAAUGCCUUGGGGGGCUAAAAUAGCUUCUUCCCUCACCAUCACGACCGAUGAUGAUGGCGAUAUCAGGUGACCAUGUUGCCGAAGGCACUCCAGCGUCAUUGCCUUUACAAAGGGAUGGAGCACAAGCUCUUCUUGGGCCAUGGGAGGGACUGAGGUAGCCUGCCCAGCACAGUGGUGGAGGUCUGCUGCAAAUGCCCCCAGGUUUACUCCCACAGGGGGCCACCUCCUGCCCGGUUCUUUCUUCAGCUUGGAACACCACUCCAGCACCAUUAUGAGGGCCCUGUAGUCAUCCUGCUCAGCCAGUGUUAGGUCAAAGAGGACAACAGGACAACUCAUCCAGCACCAGGGCAAGGUGCACUGCCGUCUCAUUGGGGCUCCACCGGUUGUGCAUGUGGCAAGUUUGACUUUCAGCAGCGAAGGCUCCAGGCGGUUGGUACCGUCAUAUCUGGGGAGCUUCAGGGUGGACCCUGUGAUGUUAAUUGCUGGAGCCCAUUGGUCCCCCAUUUUUUCCUAGCAGCAUUGUUGAUGACUGCCAUGUUUCCUGUCCUCCGAUGUCUUGGGCUCCCCAGUACAGGCCACGAGGGAGGCAGGUGAUGCGCUCUGCCAUGUCCCCAUGUCUAUCAACUUAUUACCCUGGUCUUAAGGCGCUCCAUCCGAUGUCUUAGCUUGUCAAUUUCACUUUCAAUUUCUAAUUCCACUCCUGACACAAAUGUAGCGAGCAAUUGAUCCAUGAUGACAGACAAGAAAAGCUCAUUUAUUUCCACUGCCAUUUUUAUUAUGAUAAGUACAAAACCAACCAAAUGCAAUGACCCAGAGAGACAGGCCAAAGAUACCAAGAUACAUACAUACUGGGCAGGUGAUUAUAACAGACCCUGGACGCAGGGUGACCCACAAACACACAAGCAAGCAACUAUAUGGCCCAAGCUAAAAUGUAUCAAUAAAUGAACUUGAACAUCUCACCAUAAUUUCACAAAUGCAUUUUAAAACAAGAACAAUAUGUAGCGCUGUCCACCAGGAAUUCUGGAGCCGGCUGUCGACUGUGACCCCAGAGCGCACAUUAUCACAUAUUGCAAUGCACUGCUGCUGCAAAAACACAAAUUUCACGAUGUACAGCAGUGAUAUUAAACCUGAUUCUCUUUCUAAGAUAAAAGUAUGAAAAUUUGAACCAAGUUGUAGGUGCUGGAAAUCUGAAAUAGAGCUGUGCUAGAAACACUCAGCAGAUCAGGGAGCAUCUAUGGAAAGAGAAACAAGGUUAACACUUCAGGUCAAAGUGACUCCAUCACAUUUCAGUUCAGAACUUGCGGAUGUCUAUUUGGGAAAUGGUUGGGAGAGCAAGUUUGAGUUUUUAUUGAUUGUUUUCACUCUUCAUAAUUAUCCAAGGAUUAUUGACACUGAAGAAAACUUCAAAGUCAAAAACUGAAAACAGAAACCCUGAGAAUCCAACCAUUAAACGUCAUAUGGUGAUACUGAAUAGAUCUUAAUUUCACAUUUUGUAUUGUAUCUUCAGUUAAGUUAUCUUUACAGUUUAAUGUACUAUUAAGAAAAGUAGCCCCUUGUCUCAUUCUGUACU